GAUGAACGCUGGCGAUAGGCUUAACACAUGCAAGUCGAGGGGCAGCAUGGUCUUAGCUUGCUAAGACUGAUGGCGACCGGCGCACGGGUGCGUAACGCGUAUGCAACUUGCCUCACAGAGGGGGAUAACCCGUCGAAAGACGGACUAAUACCGCGUACACUCCAUCUUGGGCAUCCAAGGUAGAGGAAAUGAAAUUCGCUGUGAGAUAGGCAUGCGUCCCAUUAGCUAGUUGGUGAGGUAACGGCUCACCAAGGCGACGAUGGGUAGGGGAACUGAGAGGUUGAACCCCCACACUGGUACUGAGACACGGACCAGACUCCUACGGGAGGCAGCAGUGAGGAAUAUUGGUCAAUGGGCGAGAGCCUGAACCAGCCAAGUCGCGUGAAGGAUGACUGUCUUAUGGAUUGUAAACUUCUUUUAUACGGGAAUAACAAGAGUCACGUGUGACUCCCUGCAUGUACCGUAUGAAUAAGCAUCGGCUAACUCCGUG
rnacentral:rRNA from 1 species